CCCGCACAAGCGGUGGAUGAUGUGGAUUAAUUCGAUGCAACGCGAAAAACCUUACCUACCCUUGACAUGGUCGGAAUCCUGCUGAGAGGUGGGAGUGCUCGAAAGAGAACCGGCGCACAGGUGCUGCAUGGCUGUCGUCAGCUCGUGUCGUGAGAUGUUGGGUUAAGUCCCGCAACGAGCGCAACCCUUGUCCUUAGUUGCUACGCAAGAGCACUCUAAGGAGACUGCCGGUGACAAACCGGAGGAAGGUGGGGAUGACGUCAAGUCCUCAUGGCCCUUAUGGGUAGGGCUUCACACGUCAUACAAUGGUCGGAACAGAGGGUUGCCAACCCGCGAGGGGGAGCUAAUCCCAGAAAACCGAUCGUAGUCCGGAUUGCACUCUGCAACU
rnacentral:rRNA from 1 species